UUGAAAGGGAAACGAUUGAAGUCAGUCGUACCAGCGGGAAAUCAACCUUUCGAGUGGUGUUUGGAGUUUUGAAGAGUGUCAAAACCUUUGAGAUUUCAAAAUUUUCGCUCCUUUGGUGUACUUUCUCGUGGGUAGGUUAACAUCGAUUUCGAUCAUCAUAAAAGGAUUGGAGGAAUGUAGCUUCGAUCUUGUAUUGAAGUGUUAUAGCCUUUGGUAAAUGUGAUGAUUGGGAUCGAGGAUUGCAACGAAUACCCUUUUGGGCUAUCCGCCUGAUCUCUGAUACGUGGCCUUGGCAUCGAAAGCUUGCUUAUGGUAUCAAGGUAUUACGGUCAAAAGGUUAGAACGGAUUACAUUCGUUAAGGAUGUUGACGUA
rnacentral:rRNA from 1 species